GAUGACAUGCAAAAUCAGAAUCUGUUAACCAUUGGCUGUUCCAGAUAUGAUGUCAAAGCCAACACGGGAAACUUGAUGUAGUGUGGCUCAAAAGCAGAAGUAUUUUGGUAAAAUUACUUACUGGAGAAGCAAGUUAAAAACUAAAGAAGUGAAGAUUGGUCAUCUCUGCAGAGGAAAUUACAAGAAAAAAAACUAUUGAUACAUUCCUGACAGGUCUUUCUCAGAAGAAACAGCUGCAGAAUGUGGAUGAAUGAAUCAAUUGUGUGGAAUUCCUAUUGGCAAGACCUUAGACCCUCGACUUCUGCUAGAUCCAGCUGAGUGAU